AAAGGGACGUGUACAUACACAACUUUUCUCGGGAUGUUUCUGAAGUGUUCCGUACAAGAGACGGCUGACGUGUACCGUGCAUCAUAUGUAAAAAUAGGCAACGUAGGUAUACAUAUAUUGUUUAGAGAGGUGUGACCAGGCCCGGUCCUCUGGGUAGGCGAUAGAAGCGGUGGCGUGGAGCACAAAAUCUUUAUCCAGUUUUUUUUCAAAGCUAAAUUUGUCCAUUUAAGAAGAAAUUUUUUUAUCCAGCUGAUUAAUGUUUGUAUUUUAGUUUUGAUUAGGGCAUUGAACACUCAUGGACCAGCGCUGGGUGUGACUGAAGGGUUGUGUUGUUUGUGAAU
rnacentral:lncRNA from 1 species